AGCAGUGUAGUGUAUGGCAGCACGCGGGACUGUUUUAAUGUGUCUGGCUAUAUUGACUUACUGUAUUCCCGAAGUCCUUGUUCGACUUAAGGUACUGCUC